AACUGCUCCGGUGGCCUAAUGGUUAAAGCAUCUGUCUUGGAUGCUGGAGUUUGUGGGUUUGAUCCCCAGUCCAGUCA